AAGUCGUAACAAGGUUUCCGUAGGUGAACCUGCGGAAGGAUCAUUACCGAAUGACGUGCGUCCUGGUUGUGGUAGACCAUUUCCUCCGAUCGGAUUUGGUCAGAUGUCGGACCAGCCAGGAUUUGGUCUACCAUGCCUUUCAUUCACCAAACAAACCUGUCGUUGCAUGUGUGGCAUUUAAAGUAUAUAUAUAAAUAUAACUUUCAACAACGGAUCUCUUGGCUCUCGC
rnacentral:misc_RNA from 1 species